CAGGCCGACGCUCUAUUCAUUGAGCCAAAUGGGCUGGGGCGAGCUACUGGUUAUUUUAAAAUUGAUUUUCAAUGACACUUCUGCCCAGAGCCAAAGGCUGCUUCACGGUGUGCACGGCCUCAGUGACUUUGCCGAACCCGAGGCCGCGUGCUCUCUCCAUCAGGGUCCGAGGGAUUCAGUGAAUCGCCGGGUUUUCACUGGAGCAGAUUCCCGAGGCUCCAGGGGCCCGAGUGCCUGCUGGCCUCCGGGCCUGAGCCACGCGGGUCCUGGGGGGGCGGAGCCUGAACCACCUUUAAAAAGUAAAUUCUUACUCAGCGAUGUUCUGUUUGAGAUGAGCCGGGAGACGCCGGGCUUCUGACACUCAGCGCCCGCCCGCCUGCUCCUCCCGAUGGCCGUCCCAGCCGCCCGUCUUCAGGUCCCCGGGGCCCUGCAGGCCCUGGACGCGGACACCCCGGGCUCCUCGCUCCUCCCGCCUUUACACUGCAGCGUCCUGAGAGGAACCCCAGCGCUUUAAUUAAAGUCAUUUCAACGAA